CCCUUAGAUGCUCUGGGCCGCACGCGCGCUACACUGGCCGGUGCAACAAGCAUCCGUCCUUGGCCGACAGGCCCGGGCAAUCUUUGAACGCCGGUCGUGAUGGGGAUAGACUUUUGCAAUUUUUGGUCUUCAACGAGGAAUUCCUAGUAAACGCAAGUCAUCAACUUGCAUUGAUUACGUCCCUGCCCUUUGUACACACCGCCCGUCGCACCUACCGAUUGAAUGGUCCGGUGAAGCCUCCGGAUUGGCGCGCACCUCGGUGCCGCCGAGAAGUUGGCUAAACCUUACCAUUUAGAGGAAGGUGAAGUCGUAACA
rnacentral:rRNA from 1 species